AACCAGCACCUCAAGUGGUCAGGAGGAUUAUUGGGCCUAAAGCAUCCGUAGCCGGCUCUGUAAGUUUUCGGUUAAAUCUAUAUGCUCAACGUAUAGGCUGCCGAAAAUACUGCACAGCUAGGGAAUGGGAGAGGUAGACGGUACUCGGUAGGAAGGGGUAAAAUCCUUUGAUCUAUCGAUGACCACCUGUGGCGAAGGCGGUCUACCAGAACACGUUCGACGGUGAGGGAUGAAAGCUGGGGGAGCAAACCGG
rnacentral:rRNA from 1 species